GAAAGAGCUCAAAGUUGGAAACUGUUUGGCUUAGCUAAACCGUAUUGUAAACUGUAGAAACAUUUUCCUGGCACACCAGAUUAAUAAGUCCUUUGGAACAAGGCAUCAUGGAGGGUGAGAAUCCCGUCUUUGAUCUGAGUAGUUGUCUUUUGUGAUAUGUUUUCAAAGAGUCAGGUUGUUUGGGAAUGCAGCCUAAAUUGGGUGGUAAAUCUCACCUAAAGCUAAAUAUUUGCGAGAGACCGAUAGCGAACAAGUACCGUGAGGGAAAGAUGAAAAGAACUUUGAAAAGAGAGUUAAACAGUAUGUGAAAUUGUUAAAAGGGAACCGUUUGGAGCCAGACUGGUUUGCUUGUAAUCAACCUAGAAUUCGUUUUGGGUGCACUUGCAGGCUAUACCUGCCAACAACAGUUUGAUUUGGAGGAAAAAAUUAGUAGGAAUGUAGCCUCUCGAGGUGUUAUAGCCUACUAUCAUACUCUGGAUUGGACUGAGGAACGCAGCGAAUGCCUUUAGGCAAGAUUGCUGGGUGCUUUCGCUAAUAAAUGUUAGAAUUUCUGCUUCGGGUGGUGCUAAUGUUUAAAGGAGGAACACAUCUAGUAUAUUUUUUAUUCGCUUAGGUUGUUGGCUUAAUGACUCUAAAUGACCCGU
rnacentral:rRNA from 1 species